rfam:Clostridium chromiireducens strain DSM 23318 CLCHR_contig000094, whole genome shotgun sequence.
AAAAGUCUUCAGGGUUGGGUGAAUUUCCCUACCGGCGGUACAGCCCGCGAGCUUUAAUUAGCAGAUUCGGUUAAAUUCCGAAGCCGACAGUAAAGUCUGGAUGAAAGAAGAUAGUG